rnacentral:rRNA from 1 species
CUCUGACCAGUGAUGGAAUGAGUGCUUUUAUUAGAUCAAAACCAAUCGACGGAGGGCUCCGGUCCGAUGUCGUUCAUUUUGAUGAAUCUGGAUAACUUUUGCCGAUCGCAUGGUCCUGUACCGGCGACGCAUCUUUCAAAUGUCUGCCUUAUCAACUUUCGAUGGUAGUUUAUGCGACUACCAUGGUUGUCACGGGUAACGGGGAAUCAGGGUUCGAUUCCGGAGAGGGAGCCUGAGAAACGGCUACCACAUCCAAGGAAGGCAGCAGGCGCGCAAAUUACCCACUCCCGGCACGGGGAGGUAGUGACGAAAAAUAACGAUACGGGACUCUUACGAGGCCUCGUAAUCGGAAUGAGUACACUUUAAAUAUUUUAACGAGGAACAAUUGGAGGGCAAGUCUGGUGCCAGCAGCCGCGGUAAUUCCAGCUCCAAUAGCGUAUACUAAAAUUGUUGCGGUUAAAAAGCUCGUAGUUGCAUUUGUGCGCCGCGCUGUCGGUGCACCGCUUUCGCGGUGAUACUGACACGUCUGCGGAGCAUAUCGUCGGUGAGCCGCCGGUAAAACGGCGGUUCAAUAUCAAAAUCCUAUCGCGGUGCUCUUCAGUGAGUGUCGAGGUGGGCCGACAAUUUUACUUUGAACAAAUUAGAGUGCUCAAAGCGGGCUCAAAAUGCUGCUUGAAUAUUUCGUGCAUGGAAUAAUAGAAUAUGAUCUCGGUUCUAUUUUGUUGGUUUUCAGAACUCCGAGGUAAUGAUUAAUAGGGAUAACUGGGGGCAUUCGUAUUGCGACGUUAGAGGUGAAAUUCUUGGAUCGUCGCAAGACGAACAUCAGCGAAAGCAUUUGCCAAAGGUGUUUUCAUCAAUCAAGAACGAAAGUUAGAGGUUCGAAGGCGAUUAGAUACCGCCCUAGUUCUAACCGUAAAUAUGUCGUCUAGCGAUCCGCCGACGUUACUAUGAUGGCUCGGCGGGCAGCUUCCGGGAAACCAAAGAUUUUGGACUCCGGGGGGAGUAUGGUUGCAAAGCUGAAACUUAAAGGAAUUGACGGAAGGGCACCACCAGGAGUGGAGCUUGCGGCUUAAUUUGACUCAACACGGGAAAUCUCACCAGGCCCGGACACCGGAAGGAUUGACAGAUUAACAGCUCUUUCUUGAUUCGGUGGGUGGUGGUGCAUGGCCGUUCUUAGUUGGUGGAGCGAUUUGUCUGGUUAAUUCCGGUAACGAACGAGACUCUAGCCUGCUAAAUAGGCGUCGCCAUUUCGGUUUGCGUGGCUUCGGUCGCGCAUCUCACUGGUGGCGUAUUAAAAUUCUUCUUAGAGGGACCGGCGGUGUCGAGCCGCACGAGAUUGAGCAAUAACAGGUCUGUGAUGCCCUUAGAUGUCCUGGGCCGCACGCGCGCUACACUGAAGG